rnacentral:snRNA from 1 species
GUGCUGUCUUUGGCAGCACAUCUACUAAAAUUGGAACAAUACAGAGAAAAUUAGCAUGGCCCCUGCGCAAGGAUGACACGCAAGUUUGUGAAGCAUUCCAUAUUUUU